rnacentral:rRNA from 1 species
AGUGGGGAAUAUUGGACAAUGGGCGAAAGCCUGAUCCAGCAAUGCCGCGUGAGUGAUGAAGGCCUUAGGGUUGUAAAGCUCUUUUACCAGGGAUGAUAAUGACAGUACCUGGAGAAUAAGCUCCGGCUAACUCCGUGCCAGCAGCCGCGGUAAUACGGAGGGAGCUAGCGUUGUUCGGAAUUACUGGGCGUAAAGCGCACGUAGGCGGCUUUUCAAGUCAGGGGUGAAAUCCCGGGGCUCAACCCCGGAACUGCCCUUGAAACUGGAUGGCUAGAAUACUGGAGAGGUGAGUGGAAUUCCGAGUGUAGAGGUGAAAUUCGUAGAUAUUCGGAAGAACACCAGUGGCGAAGGCGACUCACUGGACAGUUAUUGACGCUGAGGUGCGAAAGCGUGGGGAGCAAA